CAAGUUAAAGCUUAAAAUUUAGAAAGUCUAUUAUUUACACUAAUAAGUUAAUUGUGCAAUUCAAUUUAACUUGA
rnacentral:tRNA from 1 species